rnacentral:rRNA from 1 species
AGUGAACGCUGGCGGUAGGCCUAACACAUGCAAGUCGAACGGCAGCACAGUAAGAGCUUGCUCUUACGGGUGGCGAGUGGCGGACGGGUGAGGAAUACAUCGGAAUCUACUUUUUCGUGGGGGAUAACGUAGGGAAACUUACGCUAAUACCGCAUACGACCUACGGGUGAAAGCAGGGGAUCUUCGGACCUUGCGCGAUUGAAUGAGCCGAUGCCGGAUUAGCUAGUUGGCGGGGUAAAGGCCCACCAAGGCGACGAUCCGUAGCUGGUCUGAGAGGAUGAUCGGCCACACUGGAACUGAGACACGGUCCAGACGCCUACGGGAGGCAGCAGUGGGGAAUAUUGGACAAUGGGCGCAAGCCUGAUCCAGCCAUACCGCGUGGGUGAAGAAGGCCUUCGGGUUGUAAAGCCCUUUUGUUGGGAAAGAAAAGCAGCAGGUUAAUACCCCGCUGUUCUGGCGGUACCCAAAGAAUAAGCACCGGCUAACUUCGUG